rnacentral:lncRNA from 1 species
AUAGAGCUGGGAUUCAAACUGAACCCAGAACUCUAUGUGAAACUUCUUCCCCAUGUUUUCAGAUUCUGACUACUAGUUUCUCUCUCCUCUGUUUUAGCAAAGGAUUUUUUUUUAAUCUUUGCAUUUGUAUUUUAACUUUUAUUUUUUUCUCUUAUAAAGAGAGCCCAUUUUGCCUAAACAAGAACCACGAUUAUGUAAAGUUCUUUCUGUCACCUCUCUGAAGACCUGGUUCAUAUCUGCAGCUGCAACUCUAUCCCUGAACUCAUCUUUGAAACUACCCAGAGAUAGACUGUCAAGAGCUUCAGAGCUUUACAACAGGAUCUUCCAAGUGCCCUGAGAGGUCAUGAUGGAGCCAAUAGAAAUAAAUCAUACAAAACAAAGCCAGAACCUGGUGGGAGGGAUGCUUACAAAACAACAUAAACGAGAAGUUGUCUGAAAAAAAAUUGUAUGGAAGGAAGAAGAGAUGAGAUAAGGGAAAUGAACUCAUAAUAGCCCCAGUUAAAAUACUUACAGUAAAAUAUCAUUAGUACUACUUGAUGUUGGUGAAAGGCUCUAGACUCAAGUCAGAAGGCCCAAUUUGUUGCUGUGAUUUCUUGAACAAAUUAUGUAAUUGUGUUGAGAUUCAGUUUUCUUUUCUAUCAUUGGGUAUUAAUAACUUCUAUGUGAUGUCAGAGUUAUGAUGUGAAGUUAAAAUAACUAAUAAAUGGGUAAACCCUGAAAAUUUGAUAGAAUUUUGUGAAUGAGAGAAUCUUACAAAUACAGUACCUGAAACCAAAAGAAUUAAGUCUCAGCUUGAGGAAUAUCAGAUACUAGGGCAGGCUAAUGGGAUAAAGGUCUCAUUGAUCUGCCACCUUCAGUCACACUGAAAUGGGGCUAUAUUUUUUUUAUUUACUUACCUACCAGUACUGCCAAUAGUCAAAAUAGUACUACUUUCCAAGUUAUUUAACUUUUUUAGUAUAACAGAAAAAAAAAUCAUUUCUAGUUUUCAAGGCAUGGAUUCAAUGAGUAAUAUAGAUUUAUAUCACUUGGUGAAGACAUGGCAAUUUCCCUGAUACCACUGAAAAAUAAAUUUAAAAAUGC